CUGCCUCCCACCCCCUCCCUGGGUGUCCUCCCCAGUGCCUGGGAUAGGUGCUUAACAAAGUUUACUGGCAUUAAUGCUGUUGGUGGGCAGGAGGUGCCCAAUUUGCAUUGGAAAAGAGAGAAACAGCAGUAGCAAAAAGAUGGCAAUGAGGGACAGGAGAGACCCACUUAGCUGGAGGGGGUGAGGGUCCAUGCACCAAAUAGGAGUAUGCAAAGAAAGCGAUAAACCUUUCAUAACAGGUAAAGGAAGGUGAAUUUUAUCCAGUGUCGUGUUUAGCUGAGUUCAGACUAGAAAGCUGGGCUGGAUGAGUCAGUUUGACAAGGCCUUUUUAGAUUUAGGAGCCUGUUCCGUUUUUCUCCUCUUCCUCCUCUUCACUGUAAGCUAUCCCUUGAGCUGUAUUCUGAAACCCUUAAUGGUUUUUCCAUCUCACUAGGGACAGUUUGCAAACCCUCUCUGGCUUGGCCAGGGUUGGGGCUGGGCACAAGAGGAGGUGGCUCCCAGCAAUAAGCAACCCACAGAAUUGUGUCUGUUAUUUAAGAAAAGUUUCUGGUUUUCGGCUAAUUGCAAAAAUACAUAAUGGAUGCUUUUCGCAUCUGCUAGUUAUUCUGGUACAGGCCUGCAUCCAAGAGCAAACUUUAAACAAACAAUAAGAUUAUCGAGCUUAACUAUUUCAAUGUGUAACAGAAAGCCAAGCCCCAUACACUUAAAUUAGCACACAUGCACUCAGACACAAGCACACAAGAGAUCAUAUCAACAGAUACACAAACAUACACACAUACAGAUGCAUGUUUUGGCACUAGUGCAUGCCCAAAUGCAUACUUACACACUAGCACCUAGUACAUACAAGCAUGCACAACUUGCACAUGUGCCCAGUCACCAGCACCGAUAGACAUAUUCUCAGACACACAAAUAUACAUACACUCACACACUAGUAUAUACCAACGCAUUUGAACAUCACAGACACACAGUCUCCAGCACAGAUGCAUUUACACAAAUCAUUCUUACUGCAAUGAGAGAUAGACCUGGGUAGGUGUGUGUGUCCUCCCAGUGCAGAGUUAAAUGAAGCAGUCCAUCAGCUGGGCACUGGCUGUCCGGGUGUUACCAGGUGUAGUUAUCAGUAUGGCCACCAAGAGGCGCCCAGGAUCCAUCCUGCAUCCACUUUUCAUGGCUUCUGCCAGCUGGUCAAUUUUUUUCUGUACCCACAAGCCUGCAUCUCCCUGUUCUGGAUCCCUGCACAGAACUAGGAGACUCCUUGAUCCCAGCCCCAACCUUCCAGGAUCCACUGUGCUCACUCUCAUCUUUUCCCUGUCCCACACCACCGAAACAACCACAAGUCCCAUCCCUCCUCCCUCCUAGCAGAACACAUGCUUCAGAACUCCCUGCUUGUCCUGUGGCUGCUCCAUGGAGAACUGGAUCUGUCAGGUCUUGAUCAUGAUGUGACUUCUACCUGGAACUUCUCCCACAGGAGCAGCUGUCAAAAUCUCACCUGUAUUACAGUCUAUUUCAGAAUCUCCCAGUGCAAGGCUGCCAGAGUCAAGAAUACAUGUUCAAGUAAUUCAGUGAAUGAAUUAAUGUCCCACUCGAAUACCUGACUCUGCCUUCCCUGCUAACCCCAGCUGGAGAGGUCUCUCACCUUCUAGCACCUGCCUCCUGGCGUGUGUGUGUGUGUGUGUGUAUAUAUAUAUUUCAAUAAAAACAAAUGCCAGGCUCAGUGCAGUGGCUCACGGCUGUAAUCCCAGUUACUUGGGAGGCUGAGAAAGGAGAAUCUCUUGAACCUGGGAGGUGGAGGUUGCAGUGAUCUGAGAUCAUGCCACUGCACUCCAGCCUGGGUAACAGAGAGAGACUCUAUCUAAAAAAAAAAAAA
ensembl:lncRNA